rnacentral:ncRNA from 3 species
AAAAGCUGGGUUGAGAGG